AUUGAACGCUGGCGGCAGGCCUAACACAUGCAAGUCGAGCGAGCGGCGGACGGGUGAGUAAUGUCUGGGAAACUGCCUGAUGGAGGGGGAUGACUACUGGAAACGGUAGCUAAUACCGCAUACCAUCAGAUGUGCCCGGGUGGGCUUUGCUAGGGGGUGGGGUAAUGGCUCACCUAGGCGACGAUCCCUAGCUGGGCUGAGAGGAUGACCAGCCACACCGGAACUGAGACAGGGUCCAGACCCCUACGGUAGGCAGCAGUGGGGAAUAGUGCACAAUGGGAGGAAGGCUGAUGCAGCCAUGCCGCGUGGGGGAAGAAGGCCUUCGGGUUGUAAAGCACUUCCAGCGGGGAGGCGGUACCCGCAGAAGAAGCACCGGCUAACUCCGUGCCAGCAGCCGCGGUAAUUC
rnacentral:rRNA from 1 species